CAGUCGCCGCGGUAAUACGUAGGUGGCAAGCGUUGUCCGGAAUUAUUAGGCGUAAAGGGCUCGCAGGCGGUUUCUUAAGUCUGAUGUGAAAGCCCCCGGCUCAACCGGGGAGGGUCAUUGGAAACUGGGAAACUUGAGUGCAGAAGAGGAGAGUGGAAUUCCACGUGUAGCGGUGAAAUGCGUAGAGGUGUGGAGGAACACCAGUGGCGAAGGCGACUCUCUGGUCUGUAACUGACGCUGAGGAGCGAAAGCGUGGGGAGCGAACAGGAUUAGAUACCCCAGUAGUCCCUGUCUCUUAUAC
rnacentral:rRNA from 1 species